rnacentral:rRNA from 1 species
CACAUGCAAGUCGAGCGGUAAGGCCCUUCGGGGUACACGAGCGGCGAACGGGUGAGUAACACGUGGGUAACCUGCCCUGUACUCUGGGAUAAGCCUUGGAAACGAGGUCUAAUACCGGAUAUGACUUCGAAUUGCAUGGUUUGGUGUGGAAAGUUCCGGCGGUACAGGAUGGACCCGCGGCCUAUCAGCUUGUUGGUGGGGUAAUGGCCUACCAAGGCGACGACGGGUAGCCGGCCUGAGAGGGUGACCGGCCACACUGGGACUGAGACACGGCCCAGACUCCUACGGGAGGCAGCAGUGGGGAAUAUUGCACAAUGGGCGAAAGCCUGAUGCAGCGACGCCGCGUGAGGGAUGACGGCCUUCGGGUUGUAAACCUCUUUCAGCAGGGACGAAGCGCAAGUGACGGUACCUGCAGAAGAAGCACCGGCUAACUACGUGCCAGC